rnacentral:rRNA from 1 species
UACAGAGGUCUCAAGCGUUGUUCGGAUUCAUUGGGCGUAAAGGGCGCGUAGGCGGCGCGAGCAGUCGAUCGUGAAAGUCCGGAGCUCAACUCCGGAUCGGCGGUCGAUACUCUCGUGCUUGAGCACUGUAGAGGCAGAUGGAAUUCCGGGUGUAGCGGUGGAAUGCGUAGAGAUCCGGAAGAACACCGGUGGCGAAGGCGGUCUGCUGGGCAGUUGCUGACGCUGAGGCGCGACAGCGUGGGGAGCAAACAGG